rnacentral:snoRNA from 1 species
AGGUCAUAGUGAGAACACCUUCUCAAAAAAUCCUUAAAUCUCUCCCGUGUAUCAUAAAGAAUAUUAAACUAAACAAAAGAAGAUAUGUCAUUCCUCAACUU